rnacentral:rRNA from 1 species
AGUUUGAUCAUGGCUCAGAUUGAACGCUGGCGGCAGGCCUAACACAUGCAAGUCGAGCGGUAGCACAAGAGAGCUUGCUCUCUGGGUGACGAGCGGCGGACGGGUGAGUAAUGUCUGGGAAACUGCCUGAUGGAGGGGGAUAACUACUGGAAACGGUAGCUAAUACCGCAUAACGUCUUCGGACCAAAGUGGGGGACCUUCGGGCCUCACGCCAUCAGAUGUGCCCAGAUGGGAUUAGCUAGUAGGUGGGGUAAUGGCUCACCUAGGCGACGAUCCCUAGCUGGUCUGAGAGGAUGACCAGCCACACUGGAACUGAGACACGGUCCAGACUCCUACGGGAGGCAGCAGUGGGGAAUAUUGCACAAUGGGCGCAAGCCUGAUGCAGCCAUGCCGCGUGUGUGAAGAAGGCCUUCGGGUUGUAAAGUACUUUCAGCGAGGAGGAAGGGUAGUGUGUUAAUAGCACAUUGCAUUGACGUUACUCGCAGAAGAAGCACCGGCUAACUCCGUGCCAGCAGCCGCGGUAAUACGGAGGGUGCAAGCGUUAAUCGGAAUUACUGGGCGUAAAGCGCACGCAGGCGGUUUGUUAAGUCAGAUGUGAAAUCCCCGCGCUUAACGUGGGAACUGCAUUUGAAACUGGCAAGCUAGAGUCUUGUAGAGGGGGGUAGAAUUCCAGGUGUAGCGGUGAAAUGCGUAGAGAUCUGGAGGAAUACCGGUGGCGAAGGCGGCCCCCUGGACAAAGACUGACGCUCAGGUGCGAAAGCGUGGGGAGCAAACAGGAUUAGAUACCCCGGUAGU